rnacentral:misc_RNA from 1 species
AAAAUGCGAUAAGUAAUGUGAAUUGCAGAAUUCAGUGAAUCAUCGAAUCUUUGAACGCACAUUGCGCCCGCCAGUAUUCUGGCGGGCAUGCCUGUUUGAGUAUCAUGAAAUCUUCAAAGUAAAUCUUUUGUUAACUCAAUUGGUUUCUACUUUGGUAUUGGAGGUCUUUGCAGCUUCACACCUGCUCCUCUUUGUUCAUUAGCUGGAUCUCAGUGUUAUGCUUGGUUCCACUCGGCGUGAUAAGUUAUCUAUCGCUGAGGACACUGUAAAAGGUGGCCAAGGUAAAUGCAGAUGAACCGCUUCUGAUAGUCCAUUGACUUGGACAAUACUUUUAUGAUCUGAUCUCAAAUCAGGUAGGACUACCCGCUGAACUUAAGC